GAUAGAGGAGCGGGCUUCAUCAGUACCGCGCGGCCAAAGCCUGGGCAGGCUGCCGCGUGACAGGGAAAGGGGAUCCCGCCGAAGGAGGCUGCCGCCCGGGCAGCAUUCCUGGGACGUACGGAGAAGAUCCUGCGGACUGUCACAACUGUGGAGCGCUAUCAU
rnacentral:ncRNA from 1 species